UACGUAGGUGGCAAGCGUUGUCCGGAAUUAUUGGGCGUAAAGCGCGCGCAGGCGGUCCUUUAAGUCUGAUGUGAAAGCCCACGGCUCAACCGUGGAGGGUCAUUGGAAACUGGGGGACUUGAGUACAGAAGAGAAGAGUGGAAUUCCCGGUGUAGUGGUGAAAUGCGUAGAUAUCGGGAGGAACACCAGUGGCGAAGGCGACUAUCUGGGCUGCAACUGACGCUGAGGCGCGAAGGCUAGGGUAGCAAACAGG
rnacentral:rRNA from 1 species